AAGGGAAGCGCUUGUGACCAGACUUGCGUCCGGUGAAUCACCCAGCUCUCGCGGCUGGGGCACUUCNCCGGCUCAGGCCAGCAUCAGCUCGCUGUCGGGGACAAAAGCUUCAGGAACGUAGCUCUCUUCGGGGAGUGUUAUAGCCUGUUGCAUAAUACCCUUCGGCGGGCUGAGGUACGCGCUCCGCAAGGAUGCUGGCAUAAU
rnacentral:rRNA from 1 species